rnacentral:lncRNA from 1 species
GCUUUGCCAGGCUACCGUCACAUAGCACUCCUGUCUCCCGUUUGACUUCAUAUAGUGAAAAUUGUCUAAAAGAUAAGGCAGGAGCUCUGGUUGACACCCCCCCUGCCCCCGCCUCAUAGAUCUCUCUCUAGAAGCAUUGGAAGAGGCCGUCUCAAAAAAGAAAAAUAAAAUAGAAGCAUUGGAGGAAAGAUGUGGUUUGUAGUGAAACAAAUUGGAAGUCAAGCUCAGCCUCAACCACUUACUUGCUUCUGACCUUGGCAUGAAGUUGCAGAAGCUGACCUGGGUCCUAACUGUAAAAUGCAGAGGAACUCUAUCCAUGAGGAAGCUUUGUGAAGUCGAUUCAUUGCUAAUGUCCCUGUAGUGUCCACCACAGGAA